AGCGAACGCUAGCGGCGUGCCUAAACACAUGCAAGUUGAGCGAGAAAGGGGACUUCGGUUCCCUUAGUAAAGCGGCGCACGGGUGAGUAACGCGUGGAUAAUCUACCCUUGAGUGGGGAAUAACCCGCCGAAAGGCGGACUAAUUCCGCAUAAGACCACAUUACAUAAGUAGUGCGGUUAAAGGUAGGGACCCUUCGGGGCCUAUUGCUCGGGGAUGAGUCCGCGUCCCAUCAGUUAGUUGGUGAGGUAACGGCUCACCAAGGCAAAGACAGGUAGCUGGUCUGAGAGGACGAUCAGUCACACUGGCACUGGAACACGGGCCAGACUCCUACGGGAGGCAGCAGUGGGGAAUAUUGCGCAAUGGGCGAAAGCCUGACGCAGCGACGCCGCGUGAGGGAAGAAGGCCUUCGGGUCGUAAACCUCUGUCGGGGGGGAAGAAAGUUACGGCGGUUAAUAGCCGUCGUGAUUGACGGUACCCCCGGAGGAAGCAUCGGCUAACUACGUG
rnacentral:rRNA from 1 species